UCCUCCCAGGUCGUCGAAAAAACAAAUUGAACUACGGAGCAAGCGGGCGAGCGAACGUCCGAAACCGCCUCUGACCGCGACUUUUAAACUGUUUUUACAGAAUUCGAGUGAGAUUCGGCCUGAGGCUUGUCUAAGUAAUUAAAGUUAAGAAUCUGCCGGGACUAUUAUUUCUCAUCCAGGUUUCAUGCAAGUGACCGUGUCUUGUAUUUUCUAAGAAUUACAAGCCAGUCAUAAAUUGGAAGUUAUCCAGAAGAUGUUAGAGAAAUGAUAGCAGCACCAGAAAUACCAGCAGACUUCCCCUAUGCUCAGGAUACAGACACACAAUUCUCUUCAGACACAGACUUUUCUGAAGAUCCAGAUGGAAGGAGUUCAAAUUCAACCUAAAGGAAAGGUG